GCUCUCUGACGCAGAAUCCUGGCGCCAGGGAAACUGUGUUCUCGCGAGUUUUACUUGAACGUACGGGCGGGAGUUUGUAUGUGAAGGGGCAUUCACAGGCAUAUCAUUCGUCUAUUUACGUGGGCUAGCUGCAACCAUACGGUACAGAAACGGAAAUUUGACAUCUGUUACGUUACUCAAACAGUAACACAACUUGAAAUGGAUUCCUUGGAGGAUGUCUCCGCGCGUUUAAUUCUGAGAAAUGUCCUACAAACAGAGGAAGCUAAGACUCCAGUGAACCAAAGAUUGACAAGGUCUCAAGCCCAGUCCGCCAAGACAAAUCGAAUGUCAACAAGGAAAAUGGGGCGCGCAUCUGGAGGUGGGACCCCUCUGGUUGCACUACGACACAAACUUAAGCAACAGCUACGUGAGGGUGCAUCGAGUUCCUCAGCCCGUCGCAGCAAGCUGAAGGAGGCAUCACCUAAAAAGCCUCCGCUGCCACUUCUAGAUGAUCCGGGUGCUACACCUCGUGUUUUAUUGAGAGGCAUCAUGCAAACACGUAAGGCUUAAGAAUGGCAACAGUAAUACAAAGAUAUCUUUGCUUAGAUAUGUAUGCAAGUAAUGUGUGUGUGAAUGUGUAAGACAGAAGCCGAAAAACCCAUGGUGUCAAACCAGCCAAGUGCAAAGAAGUUGAAGACAUCACACGGCCCCGCCACAGAAGAAGUGAAGCUCCCCCCCACAGAGACCAGUCUUUAUGAUGACACUCAGAGGUAAGACACCACAGAGACCAGUCUUUAUUAGACACCACAGAGACCAGUCUUUAUUAGACACCACAGAGACCAGUCUUUAUAAUGACACUCAGAGGUAAGACACCACAGAGACCAGUCUUUAUGAUGACACUCAGAGGUAACACACCACACAGACCAGUCUUUAUUAGACACCACAGAGACCAGUCUUUAUAAUGACACUCAGAGGUAACACACCACAGAGACCAGUCUUUAUGAUGACACUCAGAGGUAAGACUCCACAGAGACCAGUCUUUAUGAUGACACUCAGAGGUAAGACAUCACAGAGACCAGUCUUUAUGAUGUCACUCAGAGGUAAGACAUCACAGAGACCAGUCUUUAUUAGACACCACAGAGACCAGUCUUUAUUAGACACCACAGAGACCAGUCUUUAUUAGACACCACAGAGACCAGUCUUUAUUAGACACCACAGAGACCAGUCUUUAUUAGACACCACAGAGACCAGUCUUUAUUAGACACCACAGAGACCAGUCUUUAUGAUGACACUCAGAGGUAAGACACCACAGAGACCAGUCUUUAUUAGACACCACAGAGACCAGUCUUUAUAAUGACACUCAGAGGUAAGACACCACAGAGACCAGUCUUUAUGAUGACACUCAGAGGUAACACACCACAGAGACCAGUCUUUAUGAUGACACUCAGAGGUGAGACACCACAGAGACCAGUCUUUAUUAGACACCACAGAGACCAGUCUUUAUGAUGACACUCAGAGGUAAGACAUCACACCCCUCCACAGAGACCAGUCUUUAUUAGACUCCACAGAG
ensembl:lncRNA